rnacentral:lncRNA from 1 species
GCUCUAAACUACAUUUUAUUAAAACUUGAGAUAAUCCCGGUUUGGUCUUAAUAAUGGCCGAAAGACAAUAACCCCUUGUAAGUAUAUAAUAUAAAGAGAACUUUAUUUAACAUAAUAAACUUGUCACGUGAUUCUAUUGUAUUUUAUAUUCUCGUCGAUGAUGACAAACAAUAAGCUCCUUCGUGUAGUUCGUUGUGUCGGUAACAAAAAUGAAACAUGAAAGAAAGUUUAAAACGUGUAGCAGUACUUUCGGAAGUGAAAAGUAAAGUAACCUUUUUUUAUCCGGCACUUAAAAAAGCCAAGUUGAACAUACUUUACGCGAUUGCAAACUUAAGUUUAUCAAUGAUCAAACGAUAUAAAUCGUCUUAUUUUUACUUGAAGUCUGUCAGAUAUAAUUAUUUACAAAAUUGACAGAACAAAAUAGCCAUUAAACUAACAGAUAAAGUAGACCUCUUUCGAGUUGUUUCACCAUGCGUGUUCGUGAUCGUCAUUUGAUCUAGAUUGUUGUUCAUUAUUCGUAAUUUUGAACGACGCCCAUAAACACACGAAUGAUGUUCUCUAAAAUUGAAAAUUUUGACGGAAUUGACGAACUCGAAAGUUGUCUAUUGACUUUAAUAUUGACAGAUGGAAGCACUUACGAUUAUGUGUGUAAAAGAACAAUUAGAAUUUAUGUUAUGGACCAUUACCAACUGAUCAAAAGAUAGAAACUGAUCUUGUUAUGAGUUAUCCAGUUUCGAUAGAAUAAGAUUUUGAUUUAUACGGUCAUAGUUAUGCUGAUGGUGGAAGUUUUUAACGACCUUGUCUGGCUAUACAGCCCUUGCACGGUGGGUUGUAGUUAUGUUCCUGCUGUGAAGACAUUUAUACGGUAAUCGUUAUUUCCUUAAUUACUCUGAAUGAUAUUUAUACGGUAAUAGUUAUUUCCUUGCUCCAACAACAUUUUCCAAACAAUUUUGAAUACAUAUGUUUACAUUCCACUCUGAACUGUCUUUCCAGAAACAGAUAAACUACAGGAUUCCCCGCACUACUAAUGAAAAAUCCUCUGUACAUAAUGGCCGACACUGAUUUAAAGUUACUUGUAGUGUCUGGAUUGAUAAAAUCAAUCAAAAAGCUGAUCACAGUUAACAAAUAUCCAAUAUAAGACAUAGUUGAUGCCGCAAUGAAUAAAAAUGAAAUAUCCCGCGAGUAUUUAAGACUGUCAUUCUGUUUUUCAGUUUUAUCACGUGUCUUUUCCUUUUGAUCACUGUUGCUUUUUGGUAGAUAGACAUUUGUCUGCAGCCUUGCAGAGAACCUACUAUUGAUCUGGCUCGUUAUUAUCUUUAUAACAAUUGAAUAUGCGAUAAUGCAAAUUAUGUAUAAAAUAUUCAAUAAAACCGCUAAAAAACCAAUGAAUAUAAUAAAAUAAGAUGACAUAAAAUGUUUCGGAUCGACUGUACACUGGUAAUGUUCUACAUCCGAGGUUUCAGUUUCUACAGAACCAUAAAAAUAAACACUUGGUACAGAUAUUAGCCCUGCUAUUAUCAGAACUACGAAACAAGCAAUGUGUGCCCUCUUUAAUGUAAAUUGUCGCCCAUGGGGAUUCCCCUAGUUUUCUUUUCCGGUGGAUUGCAAUGACUGCUAACAUGAAACCGGAUGCCAUCACUAGAGCAUGCGUAAGGAAUCGAAAUAGUUUGCAAACGAUGUCAUACUUAAAUGUCAUAUUCAGAACGACAAUGGAUAUUUCGAAUGGGAUGCAGAUAACACACACUGCAAUAUCUACCGAUGACAACCAUUGAACAAAAACACGGCAAUUCGUUGGUUUAAAACGGAAAGUGUAUAUCAGAAACGCAUGCGCAUUUCCAAAUACACCGACAACGCAAAGUAUAGAUAAAAAUAUUGUAACUCCAAUGCCAUCUUUUCGACAAUUAUCUUCUUCCAAGUCUUGGAGGUUAGAUUUGAAAACAUUCCUUUUCGUCUUCCGAAAUGGACUUCAAUUAAU